AAGUCGUAACAAGGUUUCCGUAGGUGAACCUGCGGAAGGAUCAUUAAGAAAUCCCACAAUUUUUUGGGUUUUCUGGCCAGAAAUCUGGGCGAGAGCUUUCGGGCUCGAGCCUUUUUUUUUGGCCUGAAUCCAUCACUCUAUGUGCACCGUCUACUGUACGCUGGUGUCAGUCUUUCUUUUGCCUCUCGAGGCGAGAAAAAGCAGCCGGCAACCCAACCCAAACCGUUUUAUCAUCAUUUGACAGUAUCAUUUUUUGUUUCGAUUUCUGGGGAGAAACCCUUUGGGGGACUCAAGAGAAAGACAAAUAUAAAUACAACUUUUGGCAACGGAUCUCUAGGCUCUGACUACGAUGAAGAACGCAGC
rnacentral:misc_RNA from 1 species